rnacentral:rRNA from 1 species
GGACGGAGCGGCCGAUGGCAGAUUAAGUAGUUGGUGGGAUAAAAGCUUACAAGUUCCACUAUCUGUAGCUGGUCUGAGAGGACUACCAGCCGCACUGGGACUGAGACACGGCCCAGACUCCUACGGGAGGCAGCAAUGGGGAAUUUUGGACAAUGGGGGAAAGCCUGAUCCAGCCAUGCCGCGUGCAGGAUGAAGGCCUUCGGGUUGUAAACUGCUUUUGUACGGAACGAAAAGAC